AAGUCCCGCAACGAGCGCAACCCUUGUCGUCUGUUACCAUCAUUAAGUUGGGGACUCAGGCGAGACUGCCGGUGACAAACCGGAGGAAGGUGGGGACGACGUCAAGUCAUCAUGGCCCUUAUGACCUGGGCUACACACGUGCUACAAUGGUCGGUACAAAGCGUUGCGAAGCCGCGAGGUGGAGCGAACCGCAAAAAGCCGGCCUCAGUUCGGAUUGGAGUCUGAAACUCGACUCCAUGAAGGUGGAAUCGCUAGUAAUCGCGCAUCAGCAUGGCGCGGUGAAUACGUUCCCGGGCCUUGU
rnacentral:rRNA from 1 species